rnacentral:rRNA from 1 species
UGAGUAACCUGCCCUUAACUCUGGAAUAAGUCUGGGAAACUGGGUCUAAUACCGGAUAUGGCUCCUCAUCGCAUGGUGGGGGGUGGAAAGCUUUAUUGUGGUUUUGGAUGGACUCGCGGCCUAUCAGCUUGUUGGUGAGGUAAUGGCUCACCAAGGCGACGACGGGUAGCCGGCCUGAGAGGGUGACCGGCCACACUGGGACUGAGACACGGCCCAGACUCCUACGGGAGCAG